rnacentral:rRNA from 1 species
UGCGUAACACGUGAGAAAUCUGCCCCGAACUUCGGAAUAACAGUUGGAAACGACUGCUAAUACCGAAUGACGUCGGAGAACCGCAUGGCUCACUGACGAAAGGAAAUCCGGUUUGGGAGGGUCUCGCGGCCUAUCAGCUUGUUGGUGGGGUAAUGGCCUACCAAGGCAACGACGGGUAGCUGGUCUGAGAGGAUGAUCAGCCACACUGGAACUGAGACACGGUCCAGACUCC